ensembl:snRNA U1 U1 spliceosomal RNA
AUACUUACCUGGCAGGGGAGAUACCAUGAUCACGAAGGUGGUUUUCGCAGGCCAAGGCUUAUCCAUUGCACUCCGGAUGUGCUGACCCCUGCAAUUUCCCCAAAUGUGGGAAACUUAACUGCAUAAUUUGUUGUAGUGGGGACUGCAUUCACACACACACAAA